rnacentral:lncRNA from 1 species
UUGUAAUACCAAUUUUUUCUGCCCGGGCCCAUACAAAAUAAAAUACAGCAGGCCCAUCUACAGACCAAACCCAUAUUCAAAAAAACCUAGCCUAAGAAGCAGCAAGCUUCAGCCGCAUGCCCAACAGCAGCCUCCCUAACUGCCGCCGCAUCCUCCGCGCACGUACACCUCUUCCACGGCCUCCAUACCUACGAGAAAAGCAGAUCCAAACAGCAAUAGACGCAGCAAAUAAUGAAAUAGGAUUUUUUACUUUUAUUUUGCUGUAAUUUUGGCUAUAAAAAGCCAUCAAAAAUCUGUAAAAUGGGGG